rnacentral:rRNA from 1 species
GACGAACGCUGGCGGCGUGCUUAACACAUGCAAGUCGAACGGUGAAGGGGUCUGCUUUUGUGGGCCCUGGAUGAGUGGCGCACGUGUGAGUAACACGUGAGUAACCUGCCCCCUUCUUCUGGAUAACCGCAUGAAAGUGUGGCUAAUACGGGAUAUUCUGGGUCUGUCGCAUGAUGGGUCUGGGAAAGAUUGCGCCUUUGGGUGUUUUUGGUGGGGGAUGGGCUCGCGGCCUAUCAGCUUGUUGGUGGGGUGAUGGCCUACCAAGGAGGUGACGGGUAGCCGGCCUGGGGGGGUGGACGGUCACACUGGGACUGAGACACGGCCCAGACUCGUACGGGGGGCAGCAGUGGGGAAUAUUGCACAAUGGGCGCAAGCCUGAUGCAGCGACGCCGCGUGAGGGAUGGAGGCCUUCGGGUUGUAAACCUCUUUCGCCAGUGAAGCAGGCCUGCUCCUUGUGGGUGGGUUGACGGUAGCUGGAUAAGAAGCGCCGGCUAACUACGUG